GUGAUUGCUUCCAUUCGGUCGGCUGGUUUGCUCCGGGCAGCAUGUUCAGUUUGCCAGUAGAAACCAAGUUUCACAUUUUAUUCCCGUGAAGAGAAAAAAAAACGACGACGAAACAUCCCCAGUGCUGUGAGCUUUCGGAAAAAGUGGCGGAAUUGUCGUUCUAGUGAGAAGUCGUUGGUUGAGCCCCCAGACAACGGUCAGUUAAUCGACGAGUUUCAAAGAACUGAACGAAUGAUACAGAUUAUCCUCGGGAUAUUUUCACAGUUUGUAUUGUAAAGAUUAUUUCUUAGUGCUUUGUUCCAUUUCGGUUACAUCUCUUCUCAACGAGUGUUUUUUUCUGUACAGUUUGGAAAAGAAUAGUAACUCAAAAUGGCCAGGUUAAUUCUCAAGUCGACACUUUUAAUUGUGUUAAACGUUCACGUUCUCUUCGCCCUGCAAGCCACAACGUCAACAGAAACCGAGAGCGAUCGGAACAAACGAGAUCUGGCACAAUACGGCUAUUACCUCAAUUUGAACCAGGCUGCUGCAGCAGCUGGUAAUGAAAUUAGCACGGUAACGCCACCGCUGAUGGCAUCUGGCGACUCCCAGAAUGUGGCCAACAGCGACAGUACAAAUGAGCAGGACUCCACUCCUGGGAGCGACGAACGGUCCCAUUAUUUGAGGGAUUCCGCGUAUGAUCGGUUAAAUUUGAUGGAGAAUCCAUUCGCAGCUGCUAUCAGUGAUGAUAAUUAUAUGGAUGUUCGUGGGAAAAAGUUUCUUUCUUUAUACCCACUGAAAUUAUAUCCCAAACGGGCACCAUCUGGAUUCCUAGGACUGAGAGGCAAAAAGUACUACUAUGAUGGUGUCAAGCGUGUCCCAACUGGAUUCACCGGAAUGCGUGGAAAGAAGUCGGAUUUUAAUAUGGAAAAUCAAAUCGAAGAUGAUGAACCGGAUACAUAUCCAGAUGAUAUUGAAUUUUACGAGUUACUGCAAAAGGAACGGAAAUUGCUGGAAGAUAUCAGUGAAAUCUACGAGCUGAACAACGCGCUAAGAAACGAAGUGGACUUCCAAACUGCCGAAAAACGUGCACCAUCCGGUUUCGUUGGCAUGCGGGGCAAGAAAGCUAAUGGUGCUGCCUACGGAGAUAAACGGGCGCCAUCGGGUUUCCUUGGAGUCCGCGGCAAGCGGGAUAGCACAUUGGAAUACGCUGAAGGCAGCAAGCGAGGACCUUUCACCGGAUAUUUUGCCAAUCGAGGGAAGAAAGAACCCCUGCGCUUCUUUACCCGGGGAGUCGGACUUAAUAGCGGUCGGGGAAAGAAGUACAAGUAUCUCGGAAGUUUUGUAGGCGUCAGAGGGAAAAGAUGUCUGACAGCUUCCUGUACCCGGGCUCAGUAGACUCAGUCCGGGGAUCAUUUUAUCCGAUUGCCGAUGCUCUGGAAAGCAACCUAUCUCCACCGAAGCGAGCUCCCAGUGGAUUUUUGGGUGUUCGUGGCAAAAAGUGGAUAGAUCAAACGGAGGAAUAAAAAUCCAAAAGAAGCGAUACAUGUACAGAAAAAAUACAAGCUCACAAACCGGAACAUAAAUCAAUGACAAUUUCAAAAGAAUUGCAUAAACAUAAUCUUCAUCUACUGUUUGUUGCUCAAAAACAUAAUGAUACAAUUUGCAAAUGGCCCCCUGAAGAUACAGUUUGUAUAGUUUAAAUAUAAUUUUCUCAAAUCUGAAACACCGAGGUCGUUUUCUAUUCUUGUGUUAUUGGUUUAUCUGAACGCAAUAUAAAACACUAGAAAAAUACACCGAUUCUUCAAAACGCUGUGUCAAUUGAUUGCAACCUAGGUGAAAUCUUAUCAUAAUGUUAUCAUGAAAUGAUAAAAUGUAUAGACUGUUAAAUAUGGCGAAUUAUUUAUUGGAAACAUAUCACAUGAAAACGUAAAAAGAGAGAAGGAAAUAAGUUUAAACUAUCAACAUUGUAUUAUAUAAGUAACCAUGUAAUAAGCGGCAGAAUAAAACAAAAAUUACAGUUUAAAA